rnacentral:rRNA from 1 species
GACGUAGGGCGCGAGCGUUGUCCGGAUUUAUUGGGCGUAAAGAGCUCGUAGGCGGCUCGUUGCGUCGGCUGUGAAAACCCGCAGCUCAACUGUGGGCUUGCAGCCGAUACGGGCGGGCUAGGAUUCGGUAGGGGAGACUGGAAUUCCUGGUGUAGCGGUGAAAUGCGCAGAUAUCAGGAGGAACACCGGUGGCGAAGGCGACUCUCUGGACGGCAACUGACGCUGAGGCACGAAAGCGUGGGGAGCAAACAGG